AUGAACGUUUUGAUAGCGAGAUCAAAUUGAGAGAAUCUGCGACAUUUGCAACAGUUUGCAACAAAAAUAUCGACGAAGCACGAGAAGAACCAAGACACGAAGUGGAAAUGUUGUUGCACGAAAUGAUCGACGAAAUAGUCAAGAAUGUAGAAGUUUCUGAUAGAAGAGAAGACUCUCUAUCACCAACUUCCUUGAACGAAGAAGAAAUCCAAGCGAGCGAAACGUUGUACAUUUCACAAGAGAGUGUCGAUUCGUCUUGGUCAGGAAUGUCGG